GAUGAAGAACGUAGCGAAAUGCGAUAAGUAGUGUGAAUUGCAGAAUUCAGUGAAUCAUCGAAUCUUUGAACGCACAUUGCGCCCUUUGGUAUUCCUUAGGGCAUGCCUGUUCGAGCGUCAUUUAAACCUUCAAGCUCAGCUUGGUGUUGGGUGACUGUCCGCUUCACCGCGGACUCGCCUCAAAAUUAUUGGCGGCCGGUACGUUGGCUUCGAGCGCAGCAGAAACGCGAACUCGGGCCCGUCGUAUUGGCUCCCAGAAGCUAUCUUCACAAUUUUGACCUCGGAUCAGGUAGGGAUACCCGCUGAACUUAAGCAUAUCAAUAAGCGGAGGA
rnacentral:misc_RNA from 1 species